rnacentral:rRNA from 1 species
GUUGUAUAGUCAAGUAAUUAAGUGCAUGUGGUGGAUGCCUUGGCAGUCAGAGGCGAUGAAAGACGUGAUAGCCUGCGAAAAGCUCCGGGGAGGCGGCAAAUAUCCUUUGAUCCGGAGAUGUCUGAAUGGGGGAACCCACCUACUUUAAGGUAGGUAUUGCAACAUGAAUACAUAGUGUUGCAAGGCGAACGAGGGGAAGUGAAACAUCUCAGUACCCUUAGGAAAAGAAAUCAAUUGAGAUUCCCUCAGUAGCGGCGAGCGAACGGGGAUCAGCCCAUUAAGUUAUGUGUGUUUUAGUGGAACGCUCUGGGAAGUGCGAACGUAGAGGGUGAUAUUCCCGUACACGAAAGGGCACACAUAAUGAUGACGAGUAGGGCGAGGCACGUGAAACCUUGUCUGAAUAUGGGGGGACCAUCCUCCAAGGCUAAAUACUCCUGACUGACCGAUAGUGAACCAGUACCGUGAGGGAAAGGCGAAAAGAACCCCUGUGAGGGGAGUGAAAUAGAUCCUGAAACCGCAUGCAUACAAGCAGUGGGAGCACCUUCGUGGUGUGACUGCGUACCUUUUGUAUAAUGGGUCAGCGACUUAUAUUCAGUAGCAAGGUUAACCGUAUAGGGGAGCCGUAGAGAAAUCGAGUCUUAAUAGGGCGUUUAGUUGCUGGGUAUAGACCCGAAACCAGGCGAUCUAUCCAUGAGCAGGUUGAAGGUUGGGUAACACUAACUGGAGGACCGAACCCACUGUCGUUGAAAAGCCAGGGGAUGACUUGUGGAUAGGGGUGAAAGGCUAAUCAAGCCUGGUGAUAGCUGGUUCUCCCCGAAAGCUAUUUAGGUAGCGCCUCGGACGAAUACCAUAGGGGGUAGAGCACUGUUUCGGCUAGGGGGUCAUCCCGACUUACCAAACCGAUGCAAACUCCGAAUACCUAUGAGUACUAUCCGGGAGACAGACUGCGGGUGCUAACGUCCGUAGUCAAGAGGAAAACAAUCCAGACCGCCAGCUAAGGCCCCAAAAUCAUAGUUAAGUGGGAAACGAUGUGGGAAGGCAUAGACAGCUAGGAGGUUGGCUUAGAAGCAGCCACCCUUUAAAGAAAGCGUAAUAGCUCACUAGUCGAGUCGGCCUGCGCGGAAGAUGUAACGGGGCUAAAACUAUGUGCCGAAGCUGCGGAUNNNNNNNNNNNAUGCUGGAGGUAUCAGAAGUGCGAAUGCUGACGUGAGUAACGACAAAACGGGUGAAAAACCCGUUCGCCGAAAGACCAAGGGUUCCAGUCCAACGUUAAUCGGGGCUGGGUGAGUCGACCCCUAAGGCGAGGCCGAAAGGCGUAGUCGAUGGGAAAAUGGUUAAUAUUCCAUUACUUCUGUGUAAUGCGAUGAGAGGACGGAGAAGGCUAAAUCAGCCUGGCGUUGGUUGUCCAGGUGAAAGGAUGUAGGCAUGUAUCUUAGGCAAAUCCGGGGUACUCUAUGCUGAGAUCUGAUAGCAAGCUGUACUUGUACAGCGAAGUGGUUGAUGCCAUGCUUCCAGGAAAAGUCUCUAAGCUUCAGUUACACAGGAAUCGUACCCGAAACCGACACAGGUGGUCAGGUCGAGUAGACCAAGGCGCUUGAGAGAACUCUGCUGAAGGAACUAGGCAAAAUGGUACCGUAACUUCGGGAGAAGGUACGCUGUUGUUGGUGAUGGAACUCGCUUCCUGAGCUGACGACAGCCGCAGAAACCAGGCCGCUGCAACUGUUUAUUAAAAACAUAGCACUCUGCAAACACGAAAGUGGACGUAUAGGGUGUGAUGCCUGCCCGGUGCUGGAAGGUUAAUUGAUGGGGUUAGCGUAAGCGAAGCUCUUGAUCGAAGCCCCAGUAAACGGCGGCCGUAACUAUAACGGUCCUAAGGUAGCGAAAUUCCUUGUCGGGUAAGUUCCGACCUGCACGAAUGGCAUAAUGAUGGCGGCGCUGUCUCCAGCAGAGGCUCAGUGAAAUCGAAAUCGCUGUGAAGAUGCAGUGUACCCGCGGCUAGACGGAAAGACCCCGUGAACCUUUACUGCAGCUUGACACUGAACUUUGACCUUACUUGUGUAGGAUAGGUGGGAGGCUUUGAAGCUGGAACGCUAGUUCCAGUGGAGCCGUCCUUGAAAUACCACCCUGGUAAUGUUGAGGUUCUAACUCUGUCCCGUGAUCCGGGACGAGGACCGUGUCUGGUGGGUAGUUUGACUGGGGCGGUCUCCUCCUAAAGAGUAACGGAGGAGUACGAAGGUGCGCUCAGCGUGGUCGGAAAUCACGCGUAGAGUAUAAAGGCAAAAGCGCGCUUAACUGCGAGACCCACAAGUCGAGCAGGUACGAAAGUAGGUCUUAGUGAUCCGGUGGUUCUGUAUGGAAGGGCCAUCGCUCAACGGAUAAAAGGUACUCUGGGGAUAACAGGCUGAUACCGCCCAAGAGUUCAUAUCGACGGCGGUGUUUGGCACCUCGAUGUCGGCUCAUCUCAUCCUGGGGCUGAAGCAGGUCCCAAGGGUAUGGCUGUUCGCCAUUUAAAGAGGUACGCGAGCUGGGUUUAGAACGUCGUGAGACAGUUCGGUCCCUAUCUACCGUGGGCGCUGGAAAUUUGAGAGGAUCUGCUCCUAGUACGAGAGGACCAGAGUGGACGAACCUCUGGUGUACCGGUUGUGACGCCAGUCGCAUCGCCGGGUAGCUAUGUUCGGAAGGGAUAACCGCUGAAAGCAUCUAAGCGGGAAGCCUACCUCAAGAUAAGAUUUCCCUAGGACUUUAUGUCCUCUAAAGAGCCGUUCGAGACUAGGACGUUGAUAGGUUGGAUGUGGAAGCAUAGUGAUAUGUGAAGCUGACCAAUACUAAUUGCUCGUGAGGCUUGACUAUACAACACCCAAGCAGUUG